rnacentral:rRNA from 1 species
UCGCACCUACCGAUUGAAUGACUCGGUGAAAAAUUGGGACUGUGAAUUGGUUUGCUUCAUUGCGAACUUUUUUGUGGGAACUUUUUUUAACCUCGCCAUUUAGAGGAAGGUG